rnacentral:lncRNA from 1 species
GCGAUCCCAAGGCGCACAAGUGCUCUCACCAGGCUGCGCGCUGGCGGGUCGGUGCACAGGGACGGGGUCGCCGCCCACGCGCGCUUGGUUCAGGGAGCCCAGGCUGUCCCUACCCGCGGCUACAAAAGCUCGCCGAGUCUUCCUGUCCACCCAAUCGCCCCACAUGUCAGCGGUUGGUCGCCUCGCGGUGCAGUGCUGGGCACGCGAGCCCCUCCCGCAGUCAUUCUCAGCACAAGCACCAGCCUGGAGCCCCGCAGCGACAGAGCUGAGAGCCCCCAAGCCGCAGAGGUCGUGCGGAGCAGUUGCCCUUGGCUAUAAAGCCUGAAGUGGGUGUUGGAGUAGUCAACGACUAACCCAGGAUGGAUUUGUGCCAAUACACAAGUGACAACAUCUUUCACAGCUGAAGAGUCGGAGGAUAAAGCCAUGCCCACAGAUCGUUGUCACACAGAUUUGAUUAAGUGAAACAAAGCCCCAGCUGCUGGAGCAGAGGUUCCACUUGGGUUCCACAGACACCCACAGCCCAAAUCCCUGGAGGCCUAAGGCAAUAGCUAAUUGAGACUAUGCAUCACUAUUAAGGCAUCUUCACUAAAGGGCGCUGUGGAAACGCUGCCUGAGAUGCAGACACCUGUCAGAAGGGGGCUAAAUUUCAAACAAGGAACGUGGUGUUGCAUCACAAUAAAGUAGAUUCUAGUAUUACCUUCCUUUUUCAGAAGAGGAGACCAAUGGGGAGCAUUGGAAUGAUUUGGUUGCAAGCAUACUACACUACUUGUAAACUGCAGACACAGGCUUAAAAAAAGUGAAAAACUAACCAUGCAAUAAAGAAUGGAAUGAACCAUGAAGCUGUUUCUGUGGCCAGUCAUGUUUUUGAAGCAUAUCCCAUGCUAAUUUCUAGAACAGAAGAAACACACGUGUUCUUGUGUGUAAACCCAGUCCAUGGAAGAGACCGUCUGCUUGUCCCUCCUGAUCUCUGGGCCCAGACAACCAGUAGUCACCAUUCCAAGUGAGGGGUGGCUGCAACUCUACAGCCCCGUUCGUCUCUCCUCACUGUCAAAGCUGCUGAGACCCCAGACUCGACACUUGAAAGAAACCCAUGUCUGUGAAGCACUUGUGGACCAUUCAAGAUUGUGGAAGAAUCACUCAAGAGAAGGAGAUAGCAAUAUUUGCAGAUAUGCAAACUGGCCCCUUGCAUGCACAUCCUGGAGCACGUCCUGGAGCCUUUAGAGGAGACGGCUGCUGCUGUUCCAGUCUCUCCUUAGGCAGACUUGAGUUUCUACCCACUCUUCCCAAGCAGCCGCCCCUCCGCACCCGAGCGAGCCAAAGACCUGGCGGGCUGAGUACUCACUGCGCGCUGGACACAUGCUGAGCCGGCACUGCAGGGACACAGGGCGAGCCGCUGGAUGCAGACCUGUGGCCGCGGCAGUUGGGCUUAUCUUGCCCAUGAAGUUGCCUCUGAAGAACCAAGUCCAACUGUGUAUGCUGAGAGAUGUCUGGCUACUUCCUGAUUGACAGUUCUGGCAAGGUGGCAUUGGGCCCUGGCUUUUCCUCUGGAGGCAUCAUCACUUAUAGGAAAAUGUCCCCUGAAGUCCAAGGAUCAAAGCUGCUGGAACACUGAGAAGCUGAACAAAGGAGAACUGUUUCUCAUCAAACCCAGACUUCCAGACUUCCAAUAGGGUAGAAUGAGCAAGUCAGCAAAUCAUCUUCCUUGGAAACAGUGAUAAAACUAGAUGACAUUGUCAACAACAGCCAUUUCAGAAAUCUAGAAAAUGACCAAAGGCAAACAACAAACUGAGAAGCAUUUUUUUUUCCAUGAAAAAUCGCUCUAUUUCUGCAAAAAUAGUGGGAGUCUAUGGCUUCUCAUCCAGGGCUGUUUCUCUCCCCACCCCAGCUCAGUCAGUACAAAGGUUCUGGCAGCAUGAGGCAGACUGAACAGACCUGAAGUUUGAUUGCUGGAAGAAACUGACUCCAGGUUUGGCAGAGGGUGAGAAACCUACUCCCAGCCAUGUUGUCUGGUGACACAGUGACCUUAGGGACAAGUGAAUAGGGAAGGCCAGUGAUUCAUUAACCUGAGGUUGCAGUCCUGGUUGGGGAAAGCAUCAGAAUGGCAGAUAAGCUAGAAAUUUAGUAGGGAUAUGCUGGAAAUGAGACAACCCCAAAGGGGCUUGACCCCAAAGUUGUCCACACACCCCAGCUGCCUUCUGAGCAGAUGUAGGGAGAGACCAGAGAAGGCCUAGGCUAUCCACACAUCUCUGGCUAACCCAGGCUGUAAACCUGUGGAGGAGACACAAGAGGUGGAUUGAUUGCUAAUGGGCAUAUGGGGGAUCUUACUGGUUGAUAGGAACAUUCUCAAAUUGGAUUGUGGUGAUGCUUGCACAACUCUAAGUUUAUCCCAAAUUGCUAAAUUUUACACUAAAAAGGGGUGAACUUUAGGGUAUAUAAAUUAUACAUCAAUAAAGUUGUCAUAAAGCAUUCACAUUCUAAUAAAUGGCUCUAAGAAAUAUUGUUUUGAAAAUUUUCCUUUGGUAUAUUAUGGCACUCCAAAAUCAACUUCUGUCAGAACAAUAAUUAACUAUUUCUGAUUAUAGAUAUUGGUCAUCUACAAUGAUUUAUUCAGUCUUUUAUGUCCCGCAUAAGGGCUUAGAAUGCUUUAAAUUUCUAAGACCAUCAAUAGCCAGGACUCACCUGAAAACUAUAUAUAUUUUUAAAAAGACGUAUGCUCUGGGACACCAUAUGCUAACAUUUGUUGAGCACACAGUUUGCUACAGAGGUUAAGAGGUGUACUAUUUAAAUCUAACUUCCUCAAGGGGCUCACACUAUUACAAUAGUAAGCUAAAGAGAUAGAAGAAAAGUUUAUAUAUAAAAUCUCAGUACAGGGAUGGGGUUGGUAACAAAUAAGAUGCUGCCACUUACACUUGAUAAAUUAUAAAAUAUCUAUUGCAUUCAUUAUUGGAGGCUGACCCUUAUAAAAACCUUGUGGGUACUGCAAAAGACAGGGAAACCGAGGCUCAGAGUGGUUCAGCAACUUGUGUGAGGUCACAUACCUCAUGUCAAAGCUGAGAUUUAAAUGUGUGUGGCUAGGCUGGACAUGGUGGCUCACACCUGUAAUCCUAGCACCCUGGGAGGCUGAGGUGGAACACACUCCUUGUUUGUGUCCAGGAGUUCAAGACCAGCCUGGACAACAUAAUGAGACCUCAUCUCUACAAAAAAUAAAAAAUUAGCUGGGUGUGGGGCCACGCACCCCAAGGUUCUCAGGAGGCUGAGGCAGGAGGACUGCUUGAAAUCAGGAGGUUGAGCCUGCAGUGAGCUGUGAUCAUGCCACUGCACUCUGCCUGGGUGACAGAGUGAGACCCUGUCUCAAAAAAAUAAAAAUAAAAACAAAUAAAUGUGUGUGGCUGAUUCUCAUGCAAAUAUUGGUGAAGAUCUGGUAGUGAUGUAAAUUGGUAGAACCUCAGUGGGAGAUAACUUUGCAAUAGCUAUCAAAUGAAAACUGUGUAUAUUCUUUGUUUCAGGAAUUUCACUUCUAAGAUGUUUUUAAUAUAGCAGAAAUGGUUAUCCAUAAAGAAUUAGUUCAAUACAUUUUAUCUGUAAAAUGGAAUGCAAUGCGGCCAUUAAAAAGGAGGCAUAUCUGAGUAUACUAAUAUAGAAUGGUCUGCAAGAUAUAUUAACUUUUUUACAAAAGCUGUUCCCCACACUUCUUCGUGUUGUUUGAAAAGACGUGAAGGCUCAGACAGGCCUUCAUUGUGACUUGCCCAGGAUGAGUAGCAGGGCUGGAAUUCCUACUCAGGAGUCCAGAUUUAUAGGCUUCCUCUUUGCUUUAUCCUAUUUCAUAGCUGUCUCUGUUGCCAGAGCCAUGGAAGG